rnacentral:rRNA from 1 species
GACGAACGCUGGCGGCGCGCCUAACACAUGCAAGUCGAACGAGAGAGAAGGAGCUUGCUUCUUCAAUCGAGUUGGCGAACGGGUGAGUAACGCGUGAGGAACCUGCCUCAAAGAGGGGGACAACAGUUGGAAACGACUGCUAAUACCGCAUAAGCCCACGGGUCGGCACCGACCAGAGGGAAAAGGAGCAAUCCGCUUUGAGAUGGCCUCGCGUCCGAUUAGCUAGUUGGUGAGGUAAUGGCCCACCAAGGCGACGAUCGGUAGCCGGACUGAGAGGUUGAACGGCCACAUUGGGACUGAGACACGGCCCAGACUCCUACGGGAGGCAGCAGUGGGGAAUAUUGCACAAUGGGGGAAACCCUGAUGCAGCGACGCCGCGUGGAGGAAGAAGGUCUUCGGAUUGUAAACUCCUGUUGUUGAGGAAGAUAAUGACGGUACUCAACAAGGAAGUGACGGCUAACUACGUGCCAGCAGCCGCGGUAAAACGUAGGUCACAAGCGUUGUCCGGAAUUACUGGGUGUAAAGGGAGCGCAGGCGGGAAGACAAGUUGGAAGUGAAAUCCAUGGGCUCAACCCAUGAACUGCUUUCAAAACUGUUUUUCUUGAGUAGUGCAGAGGUAGGCGGAAUUCCCGGUGUAGCGGUGGAAUGCGUAGAUAUCGGGAGGAACACCAGUGGCGAAGGCGGCCUACUGGGCACCAACUGACGCUGAGGCUCGAAAGUGUGGGUAGCAAACAGGAUUAGAUACCCUGGUAGUCCACACCGUAAACGAUGAUUACUAGGUGUUGGAGGAUUGACCCCUUCAGUGCCGCAGUUAACACAAUAAGUAAUCCACCUGGGGAGUACGACCGCAAGGUUGAAACUCAAAGGAAUUGACGGGGGCCCGCACAAGCAGUGGAGUAUGUGGUUUAAUUCGACGCAACGCGAAGAACCUUACCAAGUCUUGACAUCCUGCGACGGACAUAGAAAUAUGUCUUUCCUUCGGGACGCAGAGACAGGUGGUGCAUGGUUGUCGUCAGCUCGUGUCGUGAGAUGUUGGGUUAAGUCCCGCAACGAGCGCAACCCUUAUGGUCAGUUACUACGCAAGAGGACUCUGGCCAGACUGCCGUUGACAAAACGGAGGAAGGUGGGGAUGACGUCAAAUCAUCAUGCCCUUUAUGACUUGGGCUACACACGUACUACAAUGGCGUUAAACAAAGAGAAGCAAGACCGCGAGGUGGAGCAAAACUCAGAAACAACGUCCCAGUUCGGACUGCAGGCUGCAACUCGCCUGCACGAAGUCGGAAUUGCUAGUAAUCGUGGAUCAGCAUGCCACGGUGAAUACGUUCCCGGGCCU